AAGUCGGGCGAUAACGCGCCCAGUCGGCUUGUACAACGGGCGACCACGAGCGCGUGCUUGCCAGCCGAGUGCACGGCCGGCAAACUUUCGGCAUCGGUAUCCCGCGGCGUGAGUGGCGUCUGCCAGAAGCGGAGCGCGCGGCCAACAAGGGAGCUCUCUUCAAAUAUCGAUUAUUUCCUAAUGUGCGUAAAGACACCGUCGUGUGUACAUCGUGUGUUAGUGUGAGCGUGUACCAGUUGAUAGCUGCACGGCGGCUCGCUCCAGUAUUGUCGGAGCGAACCACUGAUACGGAUCGCCGGGGUUCGCACCUCUGCGCCACAAAUCGAACACCAAAACGCACCCAACCUUCGGGGCCGACGGUGAAUGUUUCACGCGAACGCGCGCGGCGGUUGGAUUCGCCUCUUCAAGUAAAUAAACAAACCAAUGAAGAUUUGGGCUGACAUUGCCUGGGGAUCAAUUGAGUGAAGAGCAUAUUCCAAUUGUCCAACAUUUGAGAUUUUAUUUCGUUCAUUCCAUCCCCGCAUCACCCGAGGUCAUUUUAUCAAAAAGCAUGUCUGCACACUCGGGCGGCGUCGAGGAGACAGACGACGCCGGUCACGGCGGCGGCGGCGGUGGCAGUGACGCGGUGCAAGAGGUGGAAGCGCAGCGUCAACAGGCAAACAAGUAUCAAGGACGCCAGCAUCGCUCAAACUCCCUGGGCGCACGCUUGUCGUUCAAAGGACUGUUACGAGAUGGCCUGCACAUGCACUGGCGCGAUGGUCAACAGAAUCGGCCGAAAACACGGCGUGAAGCAUUUCGUCCUUGCCAACGAGUGGGCGUCUGCACGGCGGACCCUUGCGAGGUCGAAAACGCACACCGGAUCUAAAGUGUCAUCGGCAACGCAUACAAAAAGAGCUUAAUUUAAGAUUACCUGCGAAUCGGUCGGAAUUCGACCAUGCGUGUGCAUUGCACAUCCGUUUCAAUAUUUAAGCGUUGUUGUGUUUAAUUUAUGUUUUCGUCGAAGAACCAGUACAGAUGUACACUCACAGACAUUUAUUGAAAUAAUAAAGGCAAAGGUGAAGUUGUUCA